GUCCUCAUAUCAGCUAGCGGUCAGGCGGUCGGACUUUCACUCCGACGACGCGGGUUCGACUCCCGCUGAGGACG
rnacentral:tRNA from 1 species